AACUAUAGUGCAACUUCUUCUGUAUGUUUACUUAUUCUUGGAUUCACAUGAACAGGUGAACUUUACUGUUAUACCGUAUUUGGGGACUAUUUAAAUGAAACUAUAACUUCCUUCCAUAGAGAGACGAAAACACCUUUUCAAACAGGCCAGAGUGAGGCAAUAUUCCACAGGGUUUGAGAGCAAAAUUUCUAAUAAAAUAUUUAAAACCCUAAAGGUAAGUUCUUGCAUAUGUGACAUUUGCACAGCAAUUCAUUCUGAAAUGAUUGCCAAGCUGACUUGAGUGAGAAAAGCAAGCGGAAGAAGGAAGUGCCUGGCCAGGUCCACCUAUCUCUGAAUCAGAGGAAGUGCUCAGGCCAGCAUCAUGAAACAGCCAUGGUGGGACUUUUUCUUUUAUUUUCUUCUACCCCUUCAACUCACCUCCUUGUCCAUAAUCAGAAAUGAGAGGAAAUGAGGCAAAGGGUGAUGCUGGCAUGCCAGCUCUGGAAGCCGUGAAGCCUAGAUUUAUACAGCACUCUCUGCAAGUGCCACACACACCAAUAAAAAGAGAGUUCUUCAGAAAAUGAGGUGUGACGCAGGCCAGCUUUGCCAAGACUCUCGGACCAAGAAAUAAGGAUUUAAAUAUGAAAUACUAAAAUUUAACACAUGACUGAAACAAAAUAGAUGGUGUACUACUGAAA